rnacentral:rRNA from 1 species
GCAAUAGUUCUUAGUGGCGAACGGGUGAGUAACGCGUUGGUGACCUGCCCCGAAGAGAGGGAUAACAGUUCGAAAGGACUGCUAAUACCGCAUGUGGUUGUCGAGGUUAGAGGCUUGGCAACUAAAGGAGCAAUCCGCUUCGGGAGGGGCCUGCGUCCCAUCAGCUAGUUGGUAGGGUAAAGGCCUACCAAGGCUAAGACGGGUAGGGGGCCUGAGAGGGUGACCCCCCACACUGGCACUGAAACACGGGCCAGACACCUACGGGUGGCAGCAGUAGGGAAUAUUGCACAAUGGGCGAAAGCCUGAUGCAGCAACGCCGCGUGCGCGAUGAAGGCCUUCGGGUUGUAAAGCGCUUUUUGGGGAGAUGAGGAAGGACAGUAUCCCCAGAAUAAGUCUCGGCUAACUACGUGCCAGCAGCCGCGGUAAAACGUAGGAGGCGAGCGUUAUCCGGAUUCACUGGGCGUAAAGCGCGUGCAGGUGGCUUGGUAAGUUAGGCGUGAAAUCUCCCGGCUCAACUGGGAGAGGUCGUCUAAUACUACCGGGCUUGAGAGCAGAAGAGGAAGAUGGAAUUCCCGGUGUAGUGGUGAAAUGCGUAGAUAUCGGAGGAACACCAGUGGCGAAGGCGAUCUUCUGGUCUGUUUCUGACACUCAGACGCGACAGCUAGGGUAGUAAACGGGAUUAGAGACCCCGGUAAUCCUAGCCGUAAACGAUGUAAACUUGGCGUUGGUGGGUUAAAC